GUGCCAGCAGCCGCGGUAAUACGGAGGGUGCAAGCGUUAAUCGGAAUUACUGGGCGUAAAGCGCGUGUAGGCGGUCUUGUAAGUCGGAUGUGAAAGCCCCGGGCUCAACCUGGGAACUGCAUUCGAUACUGCAGGACUAGAGUAUGGAAGAGGGAAGCGGAAUUCCGGGUGUAGCGGUGAAAUGCGUAGAUAUCCGGAGGAACACCAGUGGCGAAGGCGGCUUCCUGGUCCAAUACUGACGCUGAGACGCGAAAGCGUGGGGAGCAAACAGGAUUAGAAACCCCCGUAGUCC
rnacentral:rRNA from 1 species